UAUUUUAAUUUUCAAGAUUUUGAUUUCAAAUUGUUGCGAGUUAGGGUCAUAUGAUACGUACUUUGUUAGAGUGAGAUAAACUCAAUGAUCUUACUUGGGCAUUAAUAUUAUCCUUCUUUUAUGUGUCUACUGGGUUUUAAGUCAUGAAGCUAUUGAUAACAUUUUUGUCUUUGAUUAUCUUUUCUUUGAAAACAUGGGCAACAAAUGAAAGAAGAGUGAGUUAGUCCCAAUAGGGAGGGUUUACAAUGUGGAGUUUGUUUUUGUGCUGGGUUGUAGUGUGGGGGAGUUUCCUUGUGUCUGAGUUUGGGUGCUUCCUUUAAACUGUCAAUGAUUUAGGAUGUGGUGGAGGAAAGAUUUCAUAAAUGGUUUAUUAUGUGAAGAAGAAAACAUUUGUCAAAAUGUGGGAGGUUAACUUCAACAAAAAAUGCCUGUUGUGAUAUAGGCCUGUUGUGACAAAUAAUCCAUUUUGCCGCCACCUCUAAUCAUUCUUGUGACAGUUAAUUCUUCCUUUGCAUGUCCAUUAUGAGAUAUCCUAAAACCAAGGAAACAAAAAUACUCAAAAUAAAGCAAGAAAAAAUUGUCUCAUCUGUAAGGCAUGAAGGCAGAAUUUUACAAUUUUAGAUGUGAAAUUGACCUAAUAUCUUUGUGUUGUUUCCAAUCAAAAAUAAAAAAUAAAAAAUUGACCUAAAUCUGAGUAGUAAUUAAUUAAAGUAUGCAUGUAUCAAAGAAUUACAUCUUUAUCUAUUUUUUCCACUUUGGAUGGGGG
rnacentral:lncRNA from 1 species